UCCGAGUGGUGUGGAUGUUUAUUGGGCCUAAAGCAUCCGUAGCUGGCUAGGUCAGUCCCUUGUUAAAUCCACCGAAUUAAUCGUUGGAUUGCGGGGGAUACUGCUUGGCUAGGGGACGAGAGAGGCAGACGGUAUUUUCGGGGUAGGGGUGAAAUCCUAUAAUCCCGGGAAGACCACCAGCGGCGAAGGCUGUCUGCUAGAACGCGCCCGACGGUGAGGGAUGAAAGCUGGGGGAGCGAACCGGAUUAGAUACCCGGGUAGUCCCAGCUGUAAACGAUGCAGACUAGGUGUUUGGACGGCCACGUGCCGUUCUAGUGCCGCAGGGAAGCUGUUAAGUCUGCCGCCUGGGGAGUACGAUCGCAAGAUUGAAACUUAAAGGAAUUGGCGGGGGAGCACCACAAGGGGUGAAGCUUGCGGUUUAAUUGGAGUCAACGCCGGAAAUCUCACCGGGAGCGACAGCAGUAUGAAGGCCAGAUUAAAGGUCUUGCCAGACGCGCUGAGA
rnacentral:rRNA from 1 species